GUAGCUACCUGGUGGGGAGAUACGGUGAUCACGAGGGUGGUUUUCCCACAGGGAGGCUUACCCAGUGCACUCCAGAUGUGCUGACCCCCGCCAUCUCCCCAAAUGCGGCAAGCUCCACUGCAUAAUUUGUGGUGACGGGGACUGCAUUCACGCUUUCCCCUG
ensembl:snRNA U1 U1 spliceosomal RNA